UUAGGAAUUUUCCGCAAUGGGCGAAAGCCUGACGGAGCGACGCCGCGUGAGUGAUGAAGGCCUUCGGGUUGUAAAGCUCUGUCAGAGGGGAAGAAGUUCUGACGGUACCCUCUGAGGAAGCCCCGGCUAACUACGUGCCAGCAGCCGCGGUAAUACGUAGGGGGCAAGCGUUAUCCGGAUUUACUGGGCGUAAAGCGCGUUCGGGCGGUCGAUAAAGUUAGAGGUGAAAUCUCAAGGCUCAACCUUGAAACUGCCUUUAAUACUUGUCGACUAGAGUAUGAGAAAGGAAAGUAGAAUUCCUGGUGUAGUAGUGAAAUGCGUAGAUAUCAGGAGGAAUACCAGUGGCGAAGGCGGCUUUCUGGCUCAUAACUGACGCUGCCGCGCGAAAGCGUGGGGAGCAAACGGG
rnacentral:rRNA from 1 species